AGGGGUUUGUUUUCGCCAAAAGCAUCUAAAAUAAGUCCUUACUUUCAAGUUUUAGCUUCAGGUUCUAGUAGAUUAACCAGUCUAAGUAAGCACCUGUUCUAAGCAAGCAAGUUGAGCAAACAUUUUAUUCCAAGAAUCAUCAUUAAAAUAAUCAUUCUCUGUUCCACUUGUUACUCCGUGCAGCACAGUGAUCAAGCAGACUCAAACUAUGAGAGGCAGACGAUUCGAAUCAAGUUUUCAAAACCUUGCAAGGUGAACCUAACCCCACAACAUCCGCGUACCACGUCGGGUUCGAUUCACUUGUCA
rnacentral:lncRNA from 1 species